GACAGAGGGUGCAAACGUUGUUCGGAAUUACUGGGCGUAAAGCGCGUGUAGGCGGCUAAGUAAGUCGGGCGUGAAAUCCCACGGCUCAACUCUGAAACUGCACUCGGUACUGCUCUGCUUGAGGACUGGAGAGGAGACUGGAAUUCACGGUGUAGCAGUGAAAUGCGUAGAUAUCGUAAGGAAGACCAGUGGCGAAGGCGGGUCUCUGGACAGUUCCUGACGCUGAGGCACGAAGGCCAGGGGAGCAAACGGG
rnacentral:rRNA from 1 species